rnacentral:rRNA from 1 species
UACGAAGGGGGCUAGCGUUGUUCGGAAUCCCUGGGCGUAAAGCGCACUCAGGCUGGUCGUUAAGCUAGGGGUGAAAUCCCGAGGCUCAACCUCGGAACUGCCUUUGAUACUGGCGAUCUUUGAGUCCGGGAGAGGUGAGUGGAACUCCGAGUGUAGAGGUGAAAUUCGUAGAUAUUCGGAAGAACACCAGUGGCGAAGGCGGCUCACUGGCCCGGUACUGACGCUCAUGUGCGAAAGCGUGGGGAGCAAACAGG